rnacentral:rRNA from 1 species
AGAGUUUGAUCAUGGCUCAGGAUGAACGCUGACAGAAUGCUUAACACAUGCAAGUCUUUGGCGAAUCUGUGCUUGCACAGCCUAACCAAGGCGGACGGGUGAGUAACGCGUAAAGAACUUGCCCUGCAGUCUGGGAUAACAGACGGAAACGACUGAUAAAACCUGAUAUAAUCAAGCCCACGCAUGUGGUGCUUGAUGAAAAGGAAUACUGCAGGAGAGCUUUGCGUCCUAUUAGCUUGUUGGUGGGGUAAUGGCCCACCAAGGCAAUGAUAGGUAGCCGGCCUGAGAGGGUGAACGGCCACAAGGGGACUGAGAUACGGCCCUUACUCCUACGGGAGGCAGCAGUGGGGAAUAUUGGACAAUGGGGGUAACCCUGAUCCAGCAAUUCUGUGUGCACGAGGAAGGUUUUCGGAUCGUAAAGUGCUUUCAGCAGGGAAGAAGAAAGUGACGGUACCUGCAGA